rnacentral:rRNA from 1 species
UACAGGGGGUGCAAACGUUGCUCGGAAUCAUUGGGCGUAAAGCGCACGUAGGCGGUUUGUUAUGUCGGAUGUGAAAGCCCUUGGCUCAACUAAGGAAGUGCAUCCGAAACUGGCGAGCUAGAGUACUAAAGAGGAUCGCGGAAUUCCCGGUGUAGAGGUGAAAUUCGUAGAUAUCGGGAGGAACACCGGUGGCGAAGGCGGCGAUCUGGGUAGAUACUGACGCUGAGGUGCGAAAGCGUGGGGAGCAAACAGG